AUGUGCAAGCACAUGGUUCUUUCUAGUCAUUUAUAUUUUUGCUGUAUUUCAUUCUCCAGGAGAGGUUUGUCUACGUGCAAUCACUGCAGCCACUACAGCAAAGGGUGCCAGUUCCCAACCUGUCUCAGCCAGAAAGGCAGUUCAGUAUUCAAGUGUUUCCCUGCAGGUUUGAUUAACUUCCUAUGAGAUGCUUCUGCUUUCACCACAUCGUCUAAGUUUCAACCACUGCAAUGCUCUCAGUUCUACUACACUACUACUUUUAUCUCAACAAGAAAAUCACCAUGAUGAUGAGGUAAUAAUAUCCCAUUUUGUGACACUGUGUCCUGGUUAAAGAUAUCCCUAAACCAAUACCCAUCUAAUCUUGUGUGUUGAUGAGUUAUACUUAUAAAUAAGAAGGGAUUUUCAAGCUAUUUGUGCUGUUUCUACCCAUGAUGACCUAGUCGAAUGUGGAAAUGUCCUCAAGCAGAGUCUGCACCCUUUCCAGAGCAUGCCAGUUGUCAGAGGGAGGAACGGAAUGGUCAGUGUUUAUAAUGAUAGCCAGGAGGCUUUCAACCAAGAUAUUGGAUCCAAUUCUAACAGAGGCCUGGAAAGGUUAUAAAGCUGACAGCACUUUGAGAUGAUCUGUAAUGCUUACAAAAUACCUGAGAUUUCUCCCUACUGUCCUUCCUUGUUACUCAAAUGUGGCCUCAAGUGGUUUCUGGUCUGUAUACUUUCCCUCCUAUGUGGGACACAUUACCCAGGACAGAGGCUUUCUGGCACUGAGAGGUGAAGACUACUGAAUUUGGAAAAUCUGUCUCUUGAUCAGUGACGCUUUCAGAGAAAGAUCUUGAUCUUUGAAAAUCAAGGAGAGCUGUGAACAUUAAUAUAGGGAACCUUAACUAAAAGUGGAGUUGAGAAGGCCUGCAGAGGGAGCUCUCACACCUUACCCUUCAUGAUCAAUUGUCCUAAGAGGAGAAAGUCAGUUACUGACACCAACAGGAAGCUAGGAACCUUGCACUCCCAAACAGGAAGUUCACUUUGUUUCUACCCCAGCAGGAGGAAAGAAGACUUCCUUCUUAUCCAAAAAACAAACACUGCCAAUUAAAAAAUAAUUCUACGGUGUAG
rnacentral:lncRNA from 1 species